ACGCUCGACACCUACGGGAGGUAGCAGUGAGGGAUAUUGGUCAAUGGGGGAAACCCUGAACCAGCAACGCCGCGUGAGGGAUGACGGUCUUCGGAUUGUAAACCUCUGUCCUCUGUGAAGAUAAUGACGGUAGCAGAGGAGGAAGCUCCGGCUAACUACGUGCCGGCAGCCGCGGUAAUCUGAGCGGGCUGGCAAGGC
rnacentral:rRNA from 1 species